UACGGAGGGUGCUAGCGUUGUUCGGAAUUACUGGGCGUAAAGAGCACGUAGGCGGGCUCGUAAGUCGAUUGUGAAAGCCCCGGGCUCAAUCCGGGAAUUGCAGUCGAAACUACGAGUCUUGAAUGCCCAAGAGGGUGACGGAAUUCCUGGUGUAGAAGUGAAAUUCGUAGAUAUCAGGAGGAACACCGGAGGCGAAGGCGGUUGCCUGGUGGUGCAUUGACGCUGAGGUGCGAAAGCGUGGGGAGCAAACAGG
rnacentral:rRNA from 1 species